UCCAGGGUAGCCUAGUGGACAUGGCAUCUGCCCGGUGAGCGGGACACUGUGGGUUCGAUUCCCAUCCCUGGAC
rnacentral:tRNA from 1 species